AAUAUUGGUCAAUGGAGGCAACUCUGAACCAGCCAAGUCGCGUGAAGGAUGAAGGUCUUAUGGAUUGUAAACUUCUUUUGCAGGGGAAUAAAUAGCGGUACGUGUACCGUUUUGCAUGUACCCUGCGAAUAAGGAUCGGCUAACUCCGUGCCAGCAGCCGCGGUAAUACGGAGGAUCCGAGCGUUAUCCGGAUUUAUUGGGUUUAAAGGGUGCGUAGGCCGAAAUAUAAGUCAGCGGUGAAACGCCGGAGCUCAACUCCGGCCCUGCCGUUGAAACUGUAUUUCUUGAGUAAAUUCGAGGUAAGCGGAAUUCGUAGUGUAGCGGUGAAAUGCAUAGAUAUUACGAGGAACUCCGAUAGCGCAGGCAGCUUACCAGACUUUAACUGACGCUGAGGCACGAAAGUGUGGGUAUCAAACAGG
rnacentral:rRNA from 1 species